AGUCGAGCGCACUCUUCGGAGUGAGCGGCGGACGGGUUAGUAACGCGUGGGAACGUGCCCUUCUCUAAGGAAUAGCCACUGGAAACGGUGAGUAAUACCUUAUACGCCCUUCGGGGGAAAGAUUUAUCGGAGAAGGAUCGGCCCGCGUUAGAUUAGAUAGUUGGUGGGGUAAUGGCCUACCAAGUCUACGAUCUAUAGCUGGUUUUAGAGGAUGAUCAGCAACACUGGGACUGAGACACGGCCCAGACUCCUACGGGAGGCAGCAGUGGGGAAUCUUGGACAAUGGGCGCAAGCCUGAUCCAGCCAUGCCGCGUGAGUGAUGAAGGCCUUAGGGUCGUAAAGCUCUUUCGCCAGAGAUGAUAAUGACAGUAUCUGGUAAAGAAACCCCGGCUAACUCCGUGCCAGCAGCCGCGGUAAUACGGAGGGGGUUAGCGUUGUUCGGAAUUACUGGGCGUAAAGCGCACGUAGGCGGAUCAGAAAGUAUAGGGUGAAAUCCCAGGGCUCAACCCUGGAACUGCCUUGUAAACUCCUGGUCUUGAGUUCGAGAGAGGUGAGUGGAAUUCCGAGUGUAGAGGUGAAAUUCGUAGAUAUUCGGAGGAACACCAGUGGCGAAGGCGGCUCA
rnacentral:rRNA from 1 species